ensembl:lncRNA
CAAUAAUGAAAAUAAAUUUGUAACUACAUACAAACACUAACUAUACACAUACACACACACAUCUAGGUAUAAACUGCUACAAAUGUUCAUGAAAGCUUAUCAAAGUUUAUAAAUAAUUUCCAGGUACCACGACAGUCCAAGUGCUUGAUAAAAUAAUCGCCACCAAGGGGAAGCGCCAGGUCGAUGCAGUGACCUCUGGGGAGAGGGGGACAUUGGUCACCAUUGCCCUUGCAGUAAAUGCACAAGGCAAUUGCAUUCCCCCGUACUUCAUCUUUCCCAGGAAGGAAGACCACUUUGUGAGAAAUGGUCCCAUUGGCUCUGUUGGUUCUGCAAAUAGCUCAGGCUGGAUGCAGGAUACAGACUUUCUGGCCUUUCUCCAGACACACACCCGUGUGACCCUGGAGUCGAAGGUGCUUCUCCUCCCCGACAAUCAUUGGUCACACCUUUCUGUGGCAGCAAUUGACUUUUGUCGGUCAAACGGCAUAGUCCUACUAUUGUUCCCACCCCACUGCUCACAUCGUCUCCAGCCAUUGACAGAAACGUGCCUACAGUCCACUGAAGCGAUAUAUAAACACGGCAGCAGAUCACUGGAUGAGAACACACCCUGGAAAAACUUUGACCAUCUAUGAUGUUCCAAGCCUAGCUCUGCCACGAGCAGCGACACCCAGAAAUAUAAUGUCUGGCUUUGUGUGCACUGGCAUCUGCCCCUUUAACCCAGAUACUUUUGAGGAGCGAGACUUUUCACCUGUCUACUUCACCGACCACCCUUUUCCUUCAUUGGUACCAUGUGGUCCCACACCACAUUCCAACAAACACCCACUCAGCCAGAGCCUGUUUGAGGGAGGGCUGCUGCCAGAGUAUCCUGGUGGUUCAACCAGGGACGUCUGUUUAGAGCCAUCCCUAUCCACACAGCUGUCUGUUCACUAAGCUGUCCCAUCUGAAGAAGGCGGAAAAUGUCUGCUUGAUGUCCCGGGGGGAGAGACAGGCACACUAGUCUAGGCACUACUUCUGUCCAGGCAUUCAUUUUCAGAAGCUGUACGUCCCUUUCCUAAGGCUGGUCCGAGAAAGGACACAAAAUGAAGAGGCAAAAGGAGGUGAGGUGUUUGGUUUUUGCUUUGUCCUGAGUAAUUUCUUUAUACAUGCUGCUACCAUGUGGACAGAGAAUGAGCAAUAACUGGAUGACAGAGUACGCCAGUACUCUGUCAUCCGGUCUACCGUUCACUACUCCGAACUGGUGCCCGACCCAUCUCCUCUAAACUUGCUCUUUCUCUGCCCUCAGAUCCCCAUUGACGUUCUCUAUUGAUUCUCCAUUGCUGUCUCCCCAUGUCUCACUCUCCAGAGCUCUGGGCUUCAUCCAUUCAGUGACUUACCAUAUCGUUGUCAUACUGCAUUCUGUAAAUAAACUAUCUGCUUAACUAACCCUCCGUCUGUAUCUUGGUUUGUGACACCUCACUAUCGAAAACACUGCACCCACAGCUUCCCAGAAC